AGGAUGGUUUCAGUGGAAACUGGG
rnacentral:siRNA from 1 species